GGAGAGAAAGAGAAAAAGAGGUCUCACUUGUAUUUACUGCAGACUGACAUUAGGCUUAUCGUCAGAUAAUACACACAAGCUACUUCCCGUGUAUAGAAGGAGUAGUUUUUCCCACCCGGAUUGACGAUUCCUUAUUCAAUCUAUGCAGUUCUUUGGAUUAAAUGUGUGACAUAUCUCUCCCUGCACGGCUGGAGUUGCUGCUGCUCAGGUUGAGGAGCUGAACUUCAGUGUCCAAAGACUGUGAGGCAACCCCACUUUCCUAUGGAGCCACGCUCACAAUCCUACAGUUGCUGCCCUACCCUCAAUGAGACCAAAAAAACCAGGUGACCUGUUUUUCCCUUCAACGGUGACUGGUAAUGCACAAAUGAGCAUCCACUCUGCCAACUCGACUGACGUGGCCAUGCCAAGCGAUCAUGACUCUUUCUCCUCCAUCAUCGCCUUGAUGCUGGUGCUGACUCUAGCCUGCUCCAUCAUAGUUGCAUCGCUAGUUACUUUCUACUGCCGUAAAUCACAGCUCCAAGACAGGAAACUCAAGAAGGCACAAGAAGAGUAUGAGAAGGAUCAGGGCAAUAACGCCAUGGAGCAAUGUGGUGGAACGAUGGCAUUGAUCCAGAGUCCGUGAAGAACAUCACAGCCUAUGAGAAAAUGAAAGUAAGAAGGAAGAAAAUAACUUCUCUUUCAGGAUCUCAGAGUAAGUGCCUCUAAGGAUCCCCACACUACUCUACAAGAAAAAUGUGUUUCCUUGGACAUAUGUAUAUAUAACAAAAGACCCGGCACAUUGAAGCAUUGUUUAAGUGAUACAUGUGCUUUGUCACGUUGUGUAAAUAUAUCAUGUAAAACUGACAAUUUACUUCAACAGUGAGCCAUGCAGAGGUCUUGUUAUAUUAAGGAUGGAUGUUGUGAAAUGUAACAGGCGUUCCAUAUUGAGAGAGUUUCCCUAUAAUAACAGAAGAUCUUCACUCUAAAAACUAUACAAUCAGCAAAUAGAAAACUCCGUGCUCAAAUUAACAUUACCAGUAAUUUAACGGUUGCAUUUGGCUUGAUAAAAAGAGUGAGUGAACAAUAAAAUGUGAUGAAAACACAUUAAAAAGCAAAAAUAUAUAUAUUUUGUAAUGAGCACUAGAGUGAUUCAAACAGAAAUGAGUCUGGUGGGGUUUUCCAGGUAAAUAAAACUGGUGUAGGUACACGUAUACUGUAGAACAGUGUAGAAAACUAUCAUCUUAACCAAAUAAGACGCUUGUUUCAACUUAAAUGCAAGUGUGGUAUGAGUUUUAAUUAAUGUACUUUAUAGUUCUCAUUGGCAAACUAUACAUUAUAUACUAUGUGGGCAACAGCACAUCCUGACUUGUCAUCAUGAAGUAAUGAAAAAAAAUUGCAUUAAAUAGUUAUGAUUCAUAGUA